AGAUGAGAGAAACACCCCGCUCGCAGGGGACUGCGGGUGGUUCCAGGUCGAGGCACCCCCUGCCCCGCCCUGGCCGUGCCUUCGCGCACAUGACUGGAGCCUUCGGCUCCGGAACUCCUCACCGAUCGGA
rnacentral:ncRNA from 1 species